rnacentral:lncRNA from 1 species
GAAUAUUUCUUGUGGCUUAUGAUGGCAGGGUGAUGGGCAGCCUUUCUUGAGGAUUAUUGUGACCGAAGUGACUGAUUGUUGGCAGAACUUCGAAGAAAUGUGUCAGGUAUUGUCAUACUAUCAGUAGUAACUAUGUUGUGAUAUGCAGUAGGUAUAAACUGAUACCCUUUCAUUCUGCUCUACUAAUUUACUAUAUUUUUACUACUUAUGAUGAUUUGGCACAAAUAGGUGGAGUAAGAACGAAUAUUUCUUGUGGCUUAUGAUGGCAGGGUGAUGGGCAGCCUUUCUUGAGGAUUAUUGUGACCGAAGUGACUGAUUGUUGGCAGAACUUCGAAGAAAUGUGUCAGGUAUUGUCAUACUAUCAGUAGUAACUAUGUCGUGAUAUGCAGUAGGUAUAAACUGAUACCCUUCAUUCUGCUCUACUAAUUUACUGUAUUUUUACUCCUUAUGAUUUUUCCGAAGAUACGAUAUUAUUACUACUUAUUAGGUAAAAAUGUGCUAUGCAUUUUUUACAGAUUAUGAGAUGCAAAUUUUGCCCGAUUGAUGGUGUGUUUAAUGAUUGGAAAAAUGCCGCAUGGUUACAUGGUGGUUAUUAGUUAUGGCCAGUACAUGCAUGAUAUUGGUGCAAUUCUUUUUUGAUCUUCCAUUCCCCUUUUCACUACCUCAUUGCUCCAAUCAGCUGUAGGGUGAGCAUCUUGAGCAUGAUUUUCCUUGCUUGUACUCUGCGUGCAGAUUUACAAUCCCGAGCUUUAUAAUAAAAGAAGAAAUCAGUGAGCCUAGAUUUAUCAAAUAUUGGGAAAAGUAUAAGUUCCUCUUCUACUUUUUGUACUGUUUUGGAACACAAUUUGACAUUUACUUAUUUCUGAUAUUUUAUUGUUGUGAUGUUGCCAAAUUAGGUCUGAUUUUCUAUUGUGAUUCUCAAGUCUUAUAUUGUCCAUGUCCAUGUCAUACAAUCAGUUCCGGAACUAUGUGAGUCCUCAAGGCCAAACUGCUUGAAUUCUAUAUGAGGAAGCUCAAAAGUAAUAAGGCAUCCCGCAAGUUAGCAAAAUUGCAGGUACGACUUACGUUGGACAUGGCCUUACUUUUCAUUUUUAUUUUAUAUAUAGCUCAUUAUUACCUCCAUGCAAUAUUCCCUAAACUUUUAUAUUGUAGUUGGAUUUUGGUUCAUCGUGCCUCAGACUGGCAUGUUAUUUUAUGUUUAGUAGGAGGGUUUGACAUGGUAAUUAAGAAAUGUUUUAAUGGUAUUGCCUUGUGCCCUUGUUACAGUUCUAAAAAAGAAAGUGAUGAAUUAAUUUACAUUUUCUGAAAUUUCUCGAGGUUGUUUUUUUAUUGAAUAAUAGUUCUACCUUUUUAGGUGAAACUGCUGGUUCCAACUUCCAACUUGAUAUGCCUUCCUUUCGGUUUGGUUUACUAUACUCAGCGCAUAAGCAUCAGAGUUUAACUCAAAGUAGGGGCCUGCUAGAGACGGAGCUUGUCGUAGAGUAGAGGGAAGGUAUACUUGAUCACCUUUACUAUCUCACCUGUGAUAGAAGUAAUUGGGUUUGUUAUUCUUUCUACAAGGGUAUACAUGUGAAUCGCCGUGAUCAGAAAUAAAAUGAGUAAUAGGAACCAAGUAGAAUGUACAUUCUGUAGCUAGGUGAGGAACUAACACAAGGGAUAGUUUACAUUCAGUAGCUAGGUCAGAAAUUAGCACAAGGCAUAACAAAUCUAUCAGGUGUACAAGUUCUGAAAUGUAUAGAUGAGGACAGUGAUUAGUCACUAGCUCGUUGUUGCUCUGUUGUGCAUAUGAACCACUAGAUAGAGGGAAACAAAGAGCUGCCAGCCCA